UGGGGAAUAUUGGACAAUGGAGGAAACUCUGAUCCAGCAAUUCUGUGUGUGUGAAGAAGGUUUUAGGACUGUAAAACACUUUUAGUAGGGAAGAAAAAAAUGACGGUACCUACAGAAGAAGCAACGGCUAAAUACGUGCCAGCAGCCGCGGUAAUACGUAUGUUGCGAGCGUUAUCCGGAAUUAUUGGGCUUAAAGGGCAUCUAGGCGGUAAGACAAGUUGAAGGUGAAAACCUGUGGCUCAACCAUAGGCUUGCCUACAAAACUGUAUAACUAGAGUACUGGAAAGGUGGGUGGAACUACACGAGUAGAGGUGAAAUUCGUAGAUAUGUGUAGGAAUGCCGAUGAUGAAGAUAACUCACUGGACAGCAACUGACGCUGAAGUGCGAAAGCUAGGGGAGCAAACAGG
rnacentral:rRNA from 2 species